rnacentral:rRNA from 1 species
UACGUAGGGUGCGAGCGUUGUCCGGAAUUAUUGGGCGUAAAGAGCUCGUAGGCGGUUCUGUCGCGUCUGCUGUGAAAAACCCGGAGGCUCAACCUCCGGACCUGCAGUGGGUACGGGCAGACUAGAGUGCGGUAGGGGAGAUUGGAAUUCCUGGUGUAGCGGUGGAAUGCGCAGAUAUCAGGAGGAACACCGAUGGCGAAGGCAGGUCUCUGGGCCAUAACUGACGCUGAGAAGCGAAAGCAUGGGGAGCGAACAGG